rfam:TPA: Bos taurus chromosome 1, whole genome shotgun sequence.
CUAAAGGCCCUUUUCAGGGCCGCAGAAAAAAAAAAAAAGAACCUG